rnacentral:rRNA from 1 species
AACUUUCAAACAACGGAUCUCUUGGUUCUG